UACGGAGGAUGCAAGCGUUAUCCGGAUUCACUGGGCGUAAAGGGUGCGUAGGUGGUCGGAUAAGUCUGAUGUGAAAUCUUCGAGCUUAACUCGGAAACUGCAUUGGAUACUAUUCGGCUGGAGGGUUGGAGGGGGGACUGGAAUUCUCGGUGUAGCAGUGAAAUGCGUAGAUAUCGAGAGGAACACCAGUGGCGAAGGCGAGUCCCUGGACAACUCCUGACACUGAGGCUCGAAAGCGUGGGGAGCAAACAGG
rnacentral:rRNA from 1 species